CAUCCGACCGUUCGAAUCAAGACAGAGAAGACCCUUGGAAGCACUCUCCAGUAGCCUCACAAUUGGAUAUGAGCAGAUAUAUCAACGAACGAGCUGCAUAUGCACAACUCGUAGGUGAUUAUGAAUGCCUUAUCAAGGAAUUUCAAAACCCAGAUGUUGAGGAGAUAGGUAACUACAAAGUUCUUCGGGUGUUAAGUGAGGGGCCUUUCGGGGUCGUAUAUCUUGCCCAGCAUAAG
rnacentral:misc_RNA from 1 species